ACGGUGAGUAACACGUAUCCAACCUGCCGUCUACUCUUGGACAGCCUUCUGAAAGGAAGAUUAAUACAAGAUGGCAUCAUGAGUUCACAUGUUCACAUGAUUAAAGAUAUUCCGGUAGACGAUGGGGAUGCGUUCCAUUAGAUAGUAGGCGGGGUAACGGCCCACCUAGUCUUCGAUGGAUAGGGGUUCUGAGAGGAAGGUCCCCCACAUUGGAACUGAGACACGGUCCAA
rnacentral:rRNA from 1 species